GCGGGAGUAGCUCAGUGGCAGAGCAUCAGCUUCCCAAGCUGAGGGUCGCGGGUUCGAUCCCCGUUUCCCGCU
rnacentral:tRNA from 1 species